UACGGGGGGGGCAAGCGUUGUUCGGAAUUACUGGGCGUAAAGGGCUCGUAGGUGGCCAACUAAGUCGGACGUGAAAUCCCUCGGCUUAACCGGGGAACUGCGUCUGAUACUGGAUGGCUUGAGUUCGGGAGAGGGAUGCGGAAUUCCAGGUGUAGCGGUGAAAUGCGUAGAUAUCUGGAGGAACACCGGUGGCGAAGGCGGCAUCCUGGACCAACACUGACGCUGAGCAGCGAAAAGCCAGGGGAGCAAACGGGG
rnacentral:rRNA from 1 species